rnacentral:rRNA from 1 species
UGAGGAAUUUUCCGCAAUGGAGGCAACUCUGACGGAGCAACGCCGCGUGCAGGAGGACGGCCUUCGGGUUGUAAACUGCUUUUACCAGGGAAGAGCAUGGACGGUACCUGGUGAAUAAGCCCCGGCUAACUACGUGCCAGCAGCCGCGGUAAUACGUAGGGGGCGAGCGUUGUCCGGAAUUAUUGGGCGUAAAGCGCACGCAGGCGGUUCGCUAAGUUCGAGGUGACAAUCACCGGCUUAACCGGUGAACGAUUUCGAAAACUGGCGGACUGGAGAGCGAGAGAGGGACAUGGAACUCCGGGUGGAGCGGUGAAAUGCGUAGAGAUCCGGAAGAACACCAAUAGCGAAGGCAGUGUCCUGGCUCGUAUCUGACGCUGAGGUGCGAAAGCUAGGGGAGCGAAC